ACUCAAAUGAAUUGACGGGGACCCGCACAAGCGGUGGAACAUGUGGUUUAAUUCGAUGCUACGCGAAAAACCUCACCAAGGUUUGACAUAUAGUGAGUAGGGUAUCUGAAAGGUGACCGACCCGUUAAGUCGGGAAGCUAUACAGGUGCUGCAUGGCUGUCGUCAGCUCGUGUCGUGAGAUGUUGGGUUAAGUCCCGCAACGAGCGCAACCAUUGCCCUAUGUUGCUACCAUAUCAUUUGGACUUCGGUCCACGAUGUGGGCACUCUUAGGGGACUGCCUGGAAUAACCAGGAGGAAGGUGGAGAUGACGUCAAGUCAGUACGGCCCUUAUACCUUGGGCUACACACGUGUUACAAUGGUCGAUACAAAGGGUUGCCAACCCGCGAGGGGGAGCUAAUCUCUAAAAACCGACCUCAGUUCGGAUUGAAGUCUGCAAUUCGACUUCAUGAAGCCGGAAUCGCUAGUAAUGGAAGAGCAGCUCGCUUCCGUGAAUACGUUCCCGGGUCUUGUACACACCGCCCGU
rnacentral:rRNA from 1 species